CAGAGUUCGUGCCCUUCGGGGUAGACCUCCCACCCUUGUGUAAUUAUACCUUUGUUGCUUUGGCAGGCCGCGAGGCUUCGGCCUUGCUACCGGCUCCGGCUGGUAUGUGCCUGCCAGAGGACCCAAACUCUGAAUUUAAUGUCGUCUGAUUACUAUAUAAUAGUUA
rnacentral:misc_RNA from 1 species